rnacentral:rRNA from 1 species
AGAGUUUGAUCCUGGCUCAGGAUGAACGCUAGCGACAGGCUUAACACAUGCAAGUCGAGGGGCAGCGGGGGUAGCAAUACCCGCCGGCGACCGGCGCACGGGUGAGUAACGCGUAUGCAACUUACCUAUCAGAGGGGGAUAACCCGGCGAAAGUCGGACUAAUACCGCAUGAAGCAGGGGCCCCGCAUGGGGAUAUUUGCUAAAGAUUCAUCGCUGAUAGAUAGGCAUGCGUUCCAUUAGGCAGUUGGCGGGGUAACGGCCCACCAAACCGACGAUGGAUAGGGGUUCUGAGAGGAAGGUCCCCCACAUUGGUACUGAGACACGGACCAAACUCCUACGGGAGGCAGCAGUGAGGAAUAUUGGUCAAUGGGCGUAAGCCUGAACCAGCCAAGUCGCGUGAGGGAUGAAGGUUCUAUGGAUCGUAAACCUCUUUUAUAAGGGAAUAAAGUGCGGGACGUGUCCCAUUUUGUAUGUACCUUAUGAAUAAGGAUCGGCUAACUCCGUGCCAGCAGCCGCGGUAAUACGGAGGAUCCGAGCGUUAUCCGGAUUUAUUGGGUUUAAAGGGUGCGUAGGCGGCCUUUUAAGUCAGCGGUGAAAGUCUGUGGCUCAACCAUAGAAUUGCCGUUGAAACUGGGGGGCUUGAGUAUGUUUGAGGCAGGCGGAAUGCGUGGUGUAGCGGUGAAAUGCAUAGAUAUCACGCAGAACCCCGAUUGCGAAGGCAGCCUGCCAAGCCAUGACUGACGCUGAUGCACGAAAGCGUGGGGAUCAAACAGGAUUAGAUACCCUGGUAGUCCACGCAGUAAACGAUGAUCACUAGCUGUUUGCGAUACACUGUAAGCGGCACAGCGAAAGCGUUAAGUGAUCCACCUGGGGAGUACGCCGGCAACGGUGAAACUCAAAGGAAUUGACGGGGGCCCGCACAAGCGGAGGAACAUGUG